rnacentral:rRNA from 1 species
ACUCCUACGGGAGGCAGCAGUGGGGAAUUUUGGACAAUGGGCGAAAGCCUGAUCCAGCAAUGCCGCGUGAGUGAAGAAGGCCUUCGGGUUGUAAAGCUCUUUUGUCAGGGAAGAAACGGUGAGAGCUAAUAUCUCUUGCUAAUGACGGUACCUGAAGAAUAAGCACCGGCUAACUACGUGCCAGCAGCCGCGGUAAUACGUAGGGUGCAAGCGUUAAUCGGAAUUACUGGGCGUAAAGCGUGCGCAGGCGGUUUUGUAAGUCUGAUGUGAAAUCCCCGGGCUCAACCUGGGAAUUGCAUUGGAGACUGCAAGGCUAGAAUCUGGCAGAGGGGGGUAGAAUUCCACGUGUAGCAGUGAAAUGCGUAGAUAUGUGGAGGAACACCGAUGGCGAAGGCAGCCCCCUGGGUCAAGAUUGACGCUCAUGCACGAAAGCGUGGGGAGCAAACAGGAUUAGAAACCCGGGUAGUCCCAUGAU